GCAGUCGAACGAACUCUUCGGAGUUAGUGGCGGACGGGUGAGUAACACGUGGGAACGUGCCUUUAGGUUCGGAAUAACUCAGGGAAACUUGUGCUAAUACCGAAUGUGCCCUUCGGGGGAAAGAUUUAUCGCCUUUAGAGCGGCCCGCGUCUGAUUAGCUAGUUGGUGAGGUAAAGGCUCACCAAGGCGACGAUCAGUAGCUGGUCUGAGAGGAUGAUCAGCCACAUUGGGACUGAGACACGGCCCAAACUCCUACGGGAGGCAGCAGUGGGGAAUCUUGCGCAAUGGGCGAAAGCCUGACGCAGCCAUGCCGCGUGAAUGAUGAAGGUCUUAGGAUUGUAAAAUUCUUUCACCGGGGACGAUAAUGACGGUACCCGGAGAAGAAGCCCCGGCUAACUUCGUGCCAGCAGCCGCGGUAAUACGAAGGGGGCUAGCGUUGCUCGGAAUUACUGGGCGUAAAGGGAGCGUAGGCGGACAUUUAAGUCAGGGGUGAAAUCCCGGGGCUCAACCUCGGAAUUGCCUUUGAUACUGGGUGUCUUGAGUAUGAGAGAGGUGUGUGGAACUCCGAGUGUAGAGGUGAAAUUCGUAGAUAUUCGGAAGAACACCAGUGGCGAAGGCGACACACUGGCUCAUUACUGACGCUGAGGCUCGAAAGCGUGGGGAGCAAACAGGAUUAGAUACCCUGGUAGUCCACGCCGUAAACGAUGAUUGCUAGUUGUCGGGAUGCAUG
rnacentral:rRNA from 1 species